AUGAGCACAUUAGGUCCUCCUCCGAAAAGGAAAAGCUACAUGGGACAGCACCAGAUCAAGAAGAACAAAGGCUUCCAGGGUGAUGAUGAUGAGGCCCCACAAGCAGAUGUCCUGUUUCAGAAAAGCUGUUAUCUGUCAGAUAAAACAAACAGAUCACAAAACACCAACAGAAACAGACCAAUGGGUGGAGGAGCAGUGUUUCCACUGGGAGAAUCCACAUUAGCUCUUGAUAACGAGAUGUUACAGGUGUUAGAUUCUGUUGAACCUGUGAAGCCUGCAACUCACAAUGUUGGUCCAGCACCCACAAACAUAUAUGCACAGGAAGAGCCAGCAUCAUCAGCUGCUCCUUCACCAUGCCUUGCACUAAUUGCACAUAGUGAGAGGGACGUACCAGCUUUCCAAACUACACUCCAGAGAUCGGACAGAGCCCACACGACAGAGGGGAGAAUCUGUGGGCGUGUUACUGACUGUAAGAAACCAGGGUGGACAGCUGACUGCAAAGAUCUUGCACAGAAACUUCUCUUCAACGAAGACCCGGAGGAAGCAGAGCAUGUUCAGAGAGACCCAGGAAAUGGCCAAGCAGUGCCUGCUUGUGCCUACAUCAGUGUUCCAACUUGUCAAGAAUUAAAAAACAACAAUCAAGCACAAAUUUCUAACAAGUGA
rnacentral:lncRNA from 1 species